rnacentral:rRNA from 1 species
UCUAGUAGCUGGUUCCCUCCGAAGUUUCCCUCAGGAUAGCUGGUGCAUUUUAAUAUUAUAUAAAAUAAUCUUAUCUGGUAAAGCGAAUGAUUAGAGGCCUUAGGGUCGAAACGACCUUAACCUAUUCUCAAACUUUAAAUGGGUAAGAACCUCACCUUUCUUGAUAUGAAGGUUGAGGUUAUGAUAUAAUGUGCCCAGUGGGCCACUUUUGGUAAGCAGAACUGGCGCUGUGGGAUGAACCAAACGUAAUGUUACGGUGCCCAAAUUAACAACUCAUGCAGAUACCAUGAAAGGCGUUGGUUGCUUAAAACAGCAGGACGGUGGACAUGGAAGUCGUAAUCCGCUAAGGAGUGUGUAACAACUCACCUGCCGAAGCAACUAGCCCUUAAAAUGGAUGGCGCUUAAGUUGUAUACCUAUACAUUACCGCUAAAGUAAAUGAUUUAUAUUCAAUUUCGAUUGGAUUAUAAAUUUUGAAACUUUAGUGAGUAGGAGGGUACAAUGGUGUGCUUAGAAGUGUUUGGCGUAAGCCUGCAUGGAGCCGCUAUUGGUACAGAUCUUGGUGGUAGUAGCAAAUAAUCGAAUGAGACCUUGGAGGACUGAAGUGGAGAAGGGUUUCGUGUGAACAGUGGUUGAUCACGAGUUAGUCGGUCCUAAGUUCAAGGCGAAAGCCGAAAAUUUUCAAGUUUUAAUGAAUAUAUAAUGUAUUUAUUAUUAUGAACUUGAUUAUUUUUGAACGAAAGGGAAUACGGUUCCAAUUCCGUAACCUGUUGAGUAUCCGUUUGUUAUUAAAAAUGGGCCUUGUGCUCAUCCUGGCAACAGGAACGACCAUAAAGAAGCCGUCGAGAGAUAUCGGAAGAGUUUUCUUUUCUGUUUUAUAGUCGUACUACCAUGGAAGUCUUUCGAAGAGAGAUAUGGUAGAUGGACUAGAAGAGCAUGACAUUUACUGUUGUGUCGAUAUUUUCUCCUCGGACCUUGAAAAUUUAUGGUGGGGUCACGCAAACUUCUCAACAGGCCGUACCGAUAU